rnacentral:rRNA from 1 species
AUUGAACGCUGGCGGCAGGCCUAACACAUGCAAGUCGAGCGGAUGAAGGGAGCUUGCUCCUGGAUUCAGCGGCGGACGGGUGUGUAAUGCCUAGGAAUCUGCCUGGUAGUGGGGGAUAACGUCCGGAAACGGGCGCUAAUACCGCAUACGUCCUGAGGGAGAAAGAGGGGGAUCUUCGGACCUCACGCUAUCAGAUAAGCCUAGGUGGGAUUAGCUAGUUGGUGGGGUAAAGGCCUACCAAGGCGACGAUACGUAACUGGUCUGAGAGGAUGAUCAGUCACACUGGAACUGAGACACGGUCCAGACUCCUACGGGAGGCAGCAGUGGGGAAUAUUGGACAAUGGGCGAAAGCCUGAUCCAGCCAUGCCGCGUGUGUGAAGAAGGUCUUCGGAUUGUAAAGCUCUGUAAGUUGGGAGGAAGGGCAGUAAGUGAAUACCUUGCUGUUUUGACGGUACCAACAGAAUAAGCACCGGCUAACUUCGUG